GUGAAUCAUCGAAUUUUUGAACGCAAAUUGCGCCUUUUUCGGAAGGCAUGUCUGUUUGAGGGCACCAUUUAACAAAUAAUGUGCAGCGUUUUUGGUUGCCCAGUUGAUGGACUUUUCAAAGAAUUUAAAAUUUUGGGGGCCGAAUAAUAAAAGCGGGGAAGGUUUUUUUCAGUUGAAUGUAA
rnacentral:misc_RNA from 1 species